GGGGUCCCCACUCGUCGCCGGCUGAGCCCCCCGCCACCCCCGGAGGCCUGGUCAAGCCGCAGCGUGGGCGACCAGUGUGCAGCCCGGCGUCCUCACCGAGCAGGAUCGCCGGCUGGGACCGAAGCCGACCCGCCGGCCGCCAGCCAGGCUAGAAUCUCACCAUUAGUGACUCCAGGGACUGGAUAAUGCUUCGCCAAGCUCGCCACUUACUGAGGCUCGAACACACCUCUUUAUGUCAAGAAUUCGAUUACAUCACAUUCAGAAGCCUCUAGGUGUGUCCCAGCACAGAGCAUCUUGACAGUUGCUGUCUGGGUAUGCUUACCACCCAUUUGUGUGGCUGGCCCUCCAUCGUGAUAUUUACACGGAUGAAGCCUUACUCAGAGAGUUAAAACAAUUGCCAAAGGUGACUGGAGCACGACUCAGUGUCAGAGUGCUUACGGUUCAUUCCGAGACCGGUAUCCAGAUCUAAGUGUCUGCCACCACAUUCUACCACCGCCACCAAAUGAAGCUGAUGACCUCACCAUCCUGCCAAAGCACCACCAGAGUUUUAUUUUGUCCUCCCUUGCCGCCUCAGCGGCCCUGGCUCUCUCCUUCCCACAGGAGCCAGCCUCUGAGCACAAAGGGAGUUAUCCAUCUCUCCCUGGAUAAUUAAAAGAAACUUAUGACU
rnacentral:lncRNA from 1 species